UCAAGAGCAUAAUUCCACUUGUAAAAUAGUGGGGUUAACCUCCCGUCCUUUGCUUGACCCCCCCUCUAUUUUAGAGGGGGGUGCAUUUGAUUUCUGCUUCGGUGGGGUUUACCCACCGAAACAACCUUCAAAAAUUCUAUACAAAACCAUUCAGUCCGAGAAUUUUUUGAAUUAAUAUA
rnacentral:misc_RNA from 1 species